CAAGUUUUGACAUCUAUGUCCACUUUGCCCAUCGUCUCUUUCUCUGUUUGCAAUUGUUAUUAACUUUUGGCAAAGGGGACAAAUAGUCGACUUCACUAGAAAAUCAAUUUGCAUAUGCGAAGCAAUUCAAGCAGAUUAAAUUAAUCACAAUGAACGCGUCGUAGAAAAGUAGAUUGAUACAGGGAAACUAAGGAAACAAGCUUUCUACUACACAGUACAAGUUGAUCGAAAAUAGAGCAAUAUGUCUGACCUCUCACCCAGAGAUAUUUUUUAUGCAAGUCUUUAUCAUAUCCAUGAAAGGGGUAUACCUCUUCUUUUGUCUAUGUGCUAAUAUCAAUUGUUACUACUUGUUAGUGUUUUAGCUCCUGCAUGACUUCUAAGUAU